GCCUCUACCUCUCCCCACGAGAUCCCCUUCCCUCCACCUCACUGACGCUCAGUCGUCGCCGUCGCCGCACCACCACCGCAGCCACCAUCGACCCCGGCGCCUAGGAGGUUGACCAUCGGCCUCGUCGUCCUCGUCUACAUCGUCCCUGCCUCUGGAUCGAGGCCAAAACGCCGCCUCGCCGUCGCUAGCCUCGUGCAUCUCCGCCAUGGUCACCGCAUCUCGCCGUUGACCUGCGCAUCCCCGACCAACCCCGGCCGCCCCGAGCACGUCCACGAGCUCCGUGGUGAGCUCCUCUGCCGAUCCCCUCCUUUUACCCUUUCGGCUCGUCGCCGUUUGCCGUCGUCUCUGAGCUCGUCCGAGCUCCCGCAUACGCGUACGUAUGUGUGUGCGUGCGUGCUACGGCUGCUUCUGUGCGUGCACGCCGGCCUCGCCGCGGUCUUCUGCUGCUCCGCUACGGCUGCGGCUUGCUGCUCUGCUGGCCGCCACUGCUCCUGCUGCUGUGUGUUGCUGUUGCUGUGCCUCGCCCGGCUGCGCCGCCGUGCUUCUCGCUCGCUUGCUCCUGCCUGGCCGUGGCCAGCGCUCGCGCCCUUCGGCCGCUGCCUCUCGCGCGCGUCUCAGGUGCCUGUUGCCGCCGCCGCUGUUGCUACUUGUGCCGCUGCCGCUGCUUUGCUUGCUACUGCUGCUAACUGCUUACUGCCUUGCUUGUUGCUGCGUUUUUCCUGCUGCUACUGUUGGCAGUGGCAAUGGCCGCCGUGGCUUGUGCGCCCAUGCGUACUGGCCAUGGCACCACAACCGUGGCACAUCCACUAGAUGUGAGGCCGGUCCUUGCUUAGUGAGGUUAGUUUAGCUUAGGAUUAAUUUGUUGAUUACUUAGUGCAUAGAAAAUGACAUGUAGGUGCCCUGGAGAUUAAAAUAAUUAAUCAAAAUAAAUUUAGCUAUUGUCUAUGACAGCUGGGUCCCGCUAACACUGUUCACUUUGACCGAUCAACUCUGACUAGGCUGUUGACUGGUCAACUGGACUCCCUGGCCCACAUGUCAUUCCCUGUGUACACCUUUGUGUACACCGGGCUGGGUACCCAUAGCAUUUUAAUCUUUAUUUCGAAUUAAUAAUAAUUUUAGAAUAUUAUUAAAACUUUGAAAAAUCAUAUAAAAUAAACCGUAGCUCGGAUGAAAAUGUUUUAUACAUGAAAGUUGCUCAGAACGACGAGACGAAUCCGAACACACGGUCCGUUCAUCUACCACACAUCCCUAGCAUAGCAAACAUGCAACCUUUCCUCUUCGGUUCAUCUGUCUGACACACGUCCGGAACCGGGAAAACUUUCUCGGAUGUUUCCCCCUUCGCCAGUACCGCCUAGCGCCGCGUUAGAACACCUCUAGCACUGCUUUUUGUCUUUCUAUGCUUAUGUUUCCGUGUAUUUACUGUUUCUUCCCCCUCUUCUCUCCGGUAGACCCCGAGACCGUUGUUGAUGCCACUGUGAUUGACUACGUCACCGACGGCCCUUCUUCUUGUCUGAGCAACCAGGCAAGCCCCCCCCCCUUGAUCAUUCCGAUAUCGCCAAUUCCAGUCUCUCAUACUUGCAUUAGUUUUUGCUACUGUUAUUAUUUGCUCCUAUUCUGAUGCAUAGCCUACUUUUGUAACCUGCUCAUUGUACCUUACCUGCUUAUCCUAAACUGCUUAGUAAAGGUUGGUUAGUGAUCCAUCAAUGACCCCCAAUACUUGUCCUUGUUGCCCCUGCUUCAUCAUCGACGACUCGAUCAGCGUGAUCGACGACCAGAGCCCGACACCUCACAUCACAUCACGCCCCUUUUGUUGCUCGACUCUGCAGAGCUACUAUCGAGUGCCGAGGGUGAUCCCUCAUAACGCACUCCUGAUGAUAAUUCUGUAGUGUAGCUAUUCGGUCGUGGUGAUCGAGGGUGAUUUCCUCUCUCACCAUUCCCGAUACGGCUCUGUCGUUCAACACCUCAAGUGUGAACCUCGAGGGUGGUCCCUCUUACGUUCACCUUGAUGAUUACAUUGAGUGGAAUCCACCGGGGGUGAUUCCUUGGGUUUUCCCCUUGAUGUUUGGACACACGGUUACCUUGACUUUACUUGAGACCUUGGUGAAAGUCGGGCAGGCCCGGAGAGCACCCGCAAGAUAAUGACGUGGCACGGCCGGGCAUUCUAGGCCCUUGUCGUAAGUCCACGAGACAGGGCGACGGGGUCACUUUCAAUCGUGAGUCUUUGCUCGUCUCCGCAAGCUAAUAAUACACUAUGGUUUGGGUAUUUGUUCUGAGUUGGCCUCUGGCUUUUACGCACUAACCACCAUGCGAGAAUAGAUAUGAGCCUCGACGUCGCAGUAUCAGCCGAAGCUUUGUUAGACGUCCAGUUCAGCAGUGCGGCACGGUCGGAUCCUGCUGGCCAUCCGAGGUGGUUCUGGUAUUCACCCUGCGCGCAACGACCCGGAGUGCUGCGGGCGAUAGGCCCAAGACCCCGGAGCGCUUAGGAUGUAGACCGGCGGGGACCUCUCUGCUGAGCCUAGGUAGGGCUGUGACGUGUUGAUCUUCCGAGGCCGGGCAUUGACCCCAGAAAGGUGUGUCUGGCCAGAGUGAUCGAGCGUGUUGGGUAACGUGAUGCACCCCUGCAGGGAAGUUAUAUAUUCGAAUACCGUGUCCACGGUAAUGGACGUUCAGACUUAUAUCCCGAUCUUAUACAACUACAAAUGGAUACUUGAGAUAUGUGGCUCCGGGAUUGCUUUCUCGCAGGGAGUCGAGGAAGGAUCUCUGGGCAUUAAUGUUACAACAUGCUUGUUAAUUAUAAACUACUAUUCUUUACUCUUCUACAUGCUGCAAGAUCCUCGGAGCUGCGUGAAGAUGCUAGUCUUCGAUAGGCUAGGUCUUCCCCCUUAUUCUGGCAUUCUGCAGCUCAGUCCACAUAUGCAAACCUUCCAUUUGAUACCAGUGCAUACUUAGUAUAGAUCUGAUGCUUGCAAGUACUUUGGAUGAGUACUCACGGUUGCUUUGUUACCCCUUUUCCCCCUUCUUUCUUCUUUCCGGUUGAUGCAACCAGAUGGUGGAUCCCUGGAGCCAGAUGCCAUCGCCGAUGGAUGCUGCUACGUGAAGACCGCCGACGACCAGGAGUAGUUAG
rnacentral:lncRNA from 1 species